UGUGCUUCCCCUAACAACCCCACCAACUUCUCAAAUUCAGAGGUCCCCCUCCUGACUCCAACCCUCCCUUCGUCAGCUCCUCACAACCGCCGGCCCUGGACACCGUCGGCAAAAGAACAGCUUUCUGGAUCCAAUGAAUAACCUUUCCUGAAACUGAUUCUACCCCUCAGGUCUGUCACCCCUGACGUCAAGCAGGCGGGCAAGAGCAGCCUGUCCCCUGGACCUUCCCCUCUCCACUAUGCUGUCACAACGCAGAGUCUGGGAACAGCCCUGACCUCACCGCACGAGAAGCCUAGGUGCUCAGCUCCAGCAGCCCUGCCUGUCGAGUCAGGGUGGGGCCGAUAGGCCUCUACCCACGGCCUUCUCAGUGCUCCUGCUGACCAACCGACCAAUCAACCAACCCUUGGAAGUUCACGGGAGGCUGUGUGGCUUCACAAGGCCUGCAGGGCAAGGAGAAUUGGACCUGUGUGGAGAGUUUUAUUUGGAAACAUCACAGACUUUAUGAAAGUUACAUCCCUCUUACAUUCCAAAGUUCAGCUCCUCUGAUCUACAGACAAGGAUCUAUUUCCAGACCUCUUGAAUGGAAGUCAUCUUGAAACUUGCUCUGAUCAACAGAAUCUGAUGGAAGUGAUUUAGUGUCAGUUCUGAGUGUGGGCCUGAAGACGGCGUGGGUGUUUUCACUCCUCUUAGAAUUUUGCCCAGCUGCCAUGUGAAGCCCUGGAGAGGGCCACAUGGACAAGUCAGUCCAUCUGGAGCCACCCCAGCUCAGCCAUCCUCCAAUCAACCAGCAACUGACAACAGCCACAAGAAUGAGCCCAGAAAACCCACUCGGCAGAUAAAGGCCCAAGCUGCUGACCCUCAGAAAGAAAAGCAAAAUAAAUGGUUAUUGUUUUAAGUCACAAAACUUUGGGAUGGUUUGCUACUGCACAGAA